rnacentral:lncRNA from 1 species
UUCAACAAACUAUGCGCGCCAUGGAACACAACGAAAUGCCGGCCAUGUGGACCUUAUCCCACGUGCUAUCUGAUAGACAGGGAAUGUGACUGCUACUGCUGAGCUGCGAAUCCGUCCAAGAGAACCCAGCUGCACGAGCUUGACAACGACCUAAUGGGCAUGCCAGAUUUGUUAAACAUUUUAGUGCUUAACAAUAAACACUCGAUUACAUAUACUACAAAUGGCGUCAGAUUCUACAGGCCUCCAUAUUUCGUCUAGAUUUACAUCUUACGCUAAAUUUUGAAAUAUUUGCAACACUUUCAAUAUAUAACAACCGGCUUUUCGACGAA